rnacentral:rRNA from 1 species
AUUGAACGCUGGCGGCAUGCUUUACACAUGCAAGUCGAAAGGUAACAGGGAGCUUGCUCCGCUGACGAGUGGCGAACGGGUGAGUAAUGCGUCGGAACGUGCCGAGUAGUGGGGGAUAACGCAUCGAAAGGUGUGCUAAUACCGCAUACGUACUGAGGUAGAAAGUGGGGGACCUUCGGGCCUCACGCUAUUCGAGCGGCCGACGUCUGAUUAGCUAGUUGGUGAGGUAAAGGCUCACCAAGGCGACGAGCAGUAGCGGGUCUGAGAGGAUGAUCAGCCACACUGGGACUGAGACACGGCCCAAACUCCUACGGGAGGCAGCAGUGGGGAAUUUUGGACAAUGGGCGCAAGCCUGAUCCAACCAUGCCGCGUGUCUGAAGAAGGCCUUCUGGUUGUAAAGCACUUUAAGCGAGGAGGAGGCUACCUGGAUUAAUACUCUAGGAUAGUGGACGUUACUCGCAGAAUAAGCACCGGCUAACUCUGUGCCAGCAGCCGCCGUAACAC